GAUGAACGCUGGCGGCGUGCCUAAUACAUGCAAGUCGAGCGAACGGACGAGAAGUUUGCUUCUCUGAUGUUAGCGGCGGACGGGUGAGUAACACGUGGAUAACCUACCUAUAAGACUGGGAUAACUUCGGGAAACCGGAGCUAAUACCGGAUGAUAUUUUGAACCGCAUGGUUCAAAAGUGAAAGACGGUCUUGCUGUCACUUAUAGAUGGAUCCGCGCUGCAUUAGCUAGUUGGUAAGGUAACGGCUUACCAAGGCAACGAUGCAUAGCCGACCUGAGAGGGUGAUCGGCCACACUGGAACUGAGACACGGUCCAGACUCCUACGGGAGGCAGCAGUAGGGAAUCUUCCGCAAUGGGCGAAAGCCUGACGGAGCAACGCCGCGUGAGUGAUGAAGGUCUUCGGAUCGUAAAACUCUGUUAUUAGGGAAGAACAUAUGUGUAAGUAACUGUGCACAUCUUGACGGUACCUAAUCAGAAAGCCACGGCUAACUACGUG
rnacentral:rRNA from 1 species